rnacentral:sRNA from 1 species
GGUAUCAAAAGUCGCACGAAGCGGUCAA